GUUGCUCAGUAGGCAGUGUAGAUCCUGUGUAGCAAUCAGCAGCUACAUCUGGCUACUGGGUCUC
ensembl:miRNA microRNA 222